GAGCUAGACAGUUAGGUUAGUCUUAAAACGGAAGCCAUUGAGGCAGAGAGAGUUGGAGGGGGUGGCACAGUCUGUCUGUCCUUAAGGAGGUCUGUAGAGGGAGGAGGUAUCUGUCCGUCUAGACAGGUUCUGAGGAUCUCUCCCGCCCCAGGGUGCCACGCAGAAGCUGAGAGAGGCUGUGGGUCUCCCUGACCUGUGCGGCACAGCCGCUGUCACUGGGCUCAGAGCGCAGCCGCUGUCACUGGGCUCAGAGCACAGCCGCUGUCACUGGGCUCAGAGCACAGCCGCUGUCACUGGGCUCAGAGCACGACCCAUUCUGUGGUGUCUUCUCUGCUUUCCCCACCCCCCGGCUGAGUGUGCAGCAAAGCCAGUGGCUGCAGAAAUCUCUGGAAGCUCCCUGGGCGGGAGAGGGAGGGGGGUGUUACAUAAGAGCCCUACUGAUGUGCAGGAAGUCGAAAGCAGCCUUUCGAUUCAAAAAGCAGUGUUUCCACCCAGCCCAGAAAAGGCAGGAAUAGAAACUGGGUUAUUUCUGGCCCCUCACCACCCGCCCAGCGCCAGGAUGCUCAGCUUCUUGGUGGUUAUGACUCCUCCAUCUCCAAACACAAUCCCGCUUCUAGGCACAAGAGGAAGAGAGAAGGACGCUGUGCCCACACUCCUGGUUUCCAUGGUCUCAAACCAGGACAAUGUGCAGGAAAGCCCAGGAAAUCGAGCAACCUGGAUUUCCAGAAGGCCACUGGAUGGGAAUGUGGCACCCUCAGCGUCAAGUCUGAAACCAUGUGUGAACUGUGCGACUUUCUUGUGUCGUGUUGAGGCAGCAUAGGAGUGGCUGGAGAGUUUGUAAUACUGACCACUGGCUUGGGGCAGGACCCCGGCUCCUGCAGAGAGAGAGCCCUGCCGUUCCCUGGUGAGUGGUGUGAGAGGCCUCCUCACAGGAGAGCUGCAAGUUCCCCGUGCCUUAAGACCUCGCCAGUUUGGAUUCAUGGGCCUUGAGAGUGCCGACAGCAUCUUUCACUGCGUGGUAUAUAAUGUUUUUCACCUAGGGAAAAAUUAGCAGUCAGUGCACAGCAGCUCACAAAUGUACAUCUAGGUCUUACUUACUGAAAAGCUAACGAGGACACCCAGCAGUAGCUGUGCGCUUCCCAGAUCAGGCAGGACACAAGGUCCACACACAAGAAAAGAAUGUGUACAGCCAUCAUCACUUACAUUCCUCACUAGUGCUGGGCACUGUCACUGCACUUUUUAUUAUGUGGACUCCUGGUUGAUCAUCAGGCUCAGCCGCAAGUGGAUUUACUCAUCGAGCCAUCUUGCAAGUUCCCUUCCCAGCCUUUUGAGACAGUGUCUUACUACUUAGCCAAGGCUGGCUCUAACUAUAUGAUCUUCUUGAUUUAGAUCCACAAGAAGUGAGAUUACAAGAAUGUGCCACCAGGUCUAGAGCUUAUGUGUAUACUCUAAUUUGUCUAAAAGAGACAUAUUUUACAUGUGAUGUUGGAAGAUUUAGUUAAUGUUAUUAAAAUAAACUGAUAGGUUAAAGACUAAAA